AGGAACGGAGGGAGUAUAAAGGUGCUUUGGCCUUCCAAAAUAUGGAUAAAGUAGAGGAUAUAGAUAUUCGUAGGUCACCACACGUUUCAUUGUCAGUGUCGGACCUCCAAAAGAUGAAGUCCCUGAGAAAACUAUCUGACAAAAGUUGCGCCAGCAUAUUCUCUGCAGAAUGGUUCAAUCCAGUCGUCCUAGAGGAAUUGGCAGCCCAUGACAAGUCUUUGGACGAAGAGAAUAUCUCUGUAGCAACAGGUCUGAUCCCAAAGGUGGCAAUGAGCAAAUCUUUUCAUCCAGGUUCAUUCCAACUGGAGGAAAUGGAGGUGGAGAGCAUCUCGGCAGUGCUUAUUGCUCCCAUUUGCAGACGCCUUGCCGCUACCCUUCGCAAAUUAAUGUUCAUCUGUGAUCGAGGGACUGAAACCUUAACGGAAGAGCAAGAGAAAGCACUUAAUCUUCUCACCUCCCUCCAAUAUCUACGUUUUCCAUCCUGCAAACUGCGGUUUAUCCCUCGGCUAUACGGCAUUUCUUCUAUCAGGGAUUUUUCUUUAGGAGGCUGUGAGGGACCCAUUCACUGCCCCCCAAGGAAUUUUCUAAGUGGCUGCAGUCGUGAGAUAAAAGAGCAAGCCGAGAAACUUAAAGAAGCAAACCCUUGUUUAUCUGUAGAGUCUUGUACUAUCUACAGACAACCGCUUCCGAGGAUUCCAUGCCAUGAUAAUGUACAGGUCAAUUUGCUGACGGGACAUUCAUGAAUGGAAGCACAAGCGAGCUAUCAUGUGAUGAAUAUCCAUAUGCUGUCCUCUGUCAGUUGUGAGAUAAAAGAGCAGUCUGAGCAACUAAAAGAAAGCAAACCCUUGUUUAUCUGUUGAGGUACGUAAAACUCACUUUCGUUGGAAGGGGUUGGGGUCGAGACGAAAAAGGAACGGGCAAUGGUACGCACCUAUGAUCAGCUCUCAUAGUGGGAGAAUCAUUGUCAAGUUAGGCGCAAAAGAGGGGGUUGAAACCUAUCUAGUUUCUGAAAUCUCAUGAUUUACUCGUGUCAUUGAAGAAGUAGCCAAUCGAAGAAGUAGGGGUCACACAUGUAUUUGAAGUCGGUAUCUGCAGAACUAGAAGACAGGCAGCCAGGUCGAAUACAGGACAGGAGGUGCAACUGUUCUGUGCAAAUUGUUCCUCAUCUUGGAUAACCGCCUGACAUCCAGAGCUAGCCAAGCCGAUGCAAAAUCCAAACUGCGAGGCCAUGGUGGACAACUGCUAAUGUGGAUUCGUCAAGACAUCAGAGCCUCCAAUGGUGGGAGAAGAUCUGGUUACCAGUAGCUUGGUAAAGAACCCUGGCGGUACCAUUGUGCCUUCUGGUUGUUAUGUUGCUGGAAGAAAGACUUGGUUGACGCAGCCGCAGCUCGCCAAUCUGCACCUGGCCUCGGGGUGGACUUUGGGUCAGCACCUGGCCAUGUUAUGCGAGCUGUCUCAAGGCUUGGUUCUUGCUCCGCAAAUUGUUGGAGAGGCAGUAAAACUAGGUUGCUUAUCAGUUCUUGCCUUUCCUAGUAAAGGUCAUGUCAGCCAAGGACUAUAGUGUUCAACCACUUUCGAGGGUCCCCAGCCAUGAUAUUGUGCAGGUCGCCUUAAGUUCAACAUUUAGAUUGUCCCAAAGACUGUUUUUUUGCCAUGUUUUGUUAUCUGCAUAGUUUCCCUUUGAUACAAAAGUGAUUGGUUCGUUCAGUUGAAUCAGGUCAUUUUCGCCGUCGAGGCAUAUAUAGAUGGAAGCACAAGGGAGCUAUCAUGUGAUGGGCCAUUAAGAGAUCCAUAUGCUGCCAGGGAGGAACGCAUUGGACACAGUGGGCUCUUGCCCUGGUGAAGUUCUGGAGGUCAUAUAUCUGCUUGUUUCUAGAAGACUGCCCAUUUCUUGAAUGGGUAGGCUCUUUGUUAACUCGUAUAACCGAUUGGUGAGAAAAAUAAAAUAAUCGAUUACUCAGUAUGUGUCUAUUGAUGGGAAUCAUCAGGUAAUCUUCAUAAUUUGCUUGUUAUCGAUUCUAUCAAAUCUGACACGGUGCUAGCUAGCUAACUAACUGACACAGGAUUUCCUUGAUGCAGGAACGAUCAUGCUCACAAAAUAUUUUGGUCGAAUUGCAGAGUGAUCUAAAAGCAGCAGAUAUGUUUCAAGUUUGUGAAGAGUUCAGCAGGCUUGCACUGACUGAUUAGCAGGGUAACUUCAAGCCAGAGCAUCAUCCAUACUGGAUAGCUUCUGCCACCGAAUUGCCAGUUCAUUAGGAUACCGGUUUGAACUGAAUGGAUUAGUUAGAAAUGCUUUCAAAUCAAUGUACCUAUUGUAUGAGUUUGCCAAUUCAAUAAGAGAUAGAUGACUGUCACAGCACUUUAUUUUGGGGGAUUCUUUUGUGUACAAUGAAUCCACAGUGCUGAAGUGUUAGGGUGGUUUUUUUAUGUUAUAUUUCAAUUGUCACUUAA